AUUUAUAUAGCUUAUAUUAGAGUUAAAUAUUGAAGAUAUUUUGGAAGUUGAAUUGGACUUAUAAUUA
rnacentral:tRNA from 1 species